rnacentral:rRNA from 1 species
ACUCAAAUGAAUUGACGGGGCCCCGCACAAGCAGCGGAGCGUGUUGCUUAAUUCGAUGCGACGCGAAGAACCUUACCUGGGCUUGACAUGCAGGGAAAAGCCGUAGAGAUACGGUGUCCUUCGGGGCCUUGCACAGGUGGUGCAUGGCUGUCGUCAGCUCGUGUCGUGAGAUGUUGGGUUAAGUCCCGCAACGAGCGCAACCCUUGUCCUAUGUUGCCAGCGGAUAACGCCGGGGACUCGUAGGAGACUGCCGGGGUCAACUCGGAGGAAGGUGGGGAUGACGUCAAGUCAUCAUGCCCCUUAUGUCCAGGGCUGCAAACACGCUACAAUGGCCAGUACAAAGGGCUGCAAACCUGCGAGGGUGAGCGAAUCCCAUAAAGCUGGUCUCAGUUCGGAUUGGAGUCUGCAACUCGACUCCAUGAAGCUGGAGUUGCUAGUAAUCCCGGAUCAGCACGCCGGGGUGAAUACGUUCCCGGGGCUUGUACACACCGCCCGU